CUUGCUAUAAUUGUCAGCUAAGUGGCGCACGGGUGAGUAAUGUAUAGAUAACCUGCCCUUAAGAAAGGAAUAACAGUUGGAAACGACUGCUAAUGCCCUAUAUGCCUUUAAUACAUAAGUAUGCAAGGGAAACGCUUUAGUGCUUAAGGAUGGGUCUGUAUGGUAUCAGCUUGUUGGUGAGGUAAUGGCUCACCAAGGCUAUGACGCCUAACUGGUUUGAGAGGAUGAUCAGUCACACUGGAACUGAGACACGGUCCAGACUCCUACGGGAGGCAGCAGUGGGGAAUAUUGCACAAUGGACGAAAGUCUGAUGCAGCAACGCCGCGUGGAGGAUGACACAUUUCGGUGCGUAAACUCCUUUUAUAUAGGAAGAUAAUGACGGUACUAUAUGAAUAAGCACCGGCUAACUCCGUGCCAGCAGCCGCGGUAAUACGGAGGGUGCAAGCGUUACUCGGAAUCACUGGGCGUAAAGAGCGUGUAGGCGGGUAUAUAAGUCAGAAGUGAAAUCCAAUAGCUCAACUAUUGAACUGCUUUUGAAACUGUAUACCUAGAAUGUGGGAGAGGUAGAUGGAAUUUCUGGUGUAGGGGUAAAAUCCGUAGAGAUCAGAAGGAAUACCGAUUGCGAAGGCGAUCUACUGGAACAUUAUUGACGCUGAGACGCGAAAGCGUGGGGAGCAAACAGGAUUAGAUACCCUGGUAGUCCACGCCCUAAACGAUGUACACUAGUUGUUGUGAGGCUCGACCUUGCAGUAAUGCAGUUAACACAUUAAGUGUACCGCCUGGGGAGUACGGUCGCAAGA
rnacentral:rRNA from 1 species